UACGUAUGGAGCAAGCGUUAUCCGGAUUUACUGGGUGUAAAGGGUGCGUAGGUGGUAUGGCAAGUCAGAAGUGAAAACUAUGGGCUCAACCGAUAGACUGCUUUUGAAACUGUCAAACUGGAGUGCAGGAGAGGCAAGCGGAAUUCCUAGUGUAGCGGUGAAAUGCGUAGAUAUUAGGAGGAACACCAGUGGCGAAGGCGGCUUGCUGGACUGAUACUGACACUGAGGCACGAAAGCGUGGGGAG
rnacentral:rRNA from 1 species